rnacentral:lncRNA from 1 species
GUCACAUCCGCCUUCGCUAGCUCCGGAACGAGUGCUCGAUUUGCAGUUCUGUCCUAAGUCCUGUUCUUGGCGGACCCCAGCAGGGCGCUCUGCUGUAGUAGCAGCAAUUAGAAAACGGAAAAUAAAGAUUGGAAGCUCGGGAUAUGCCCAGGGACUGCGGCAGAGGACUGACUUCCAAAAGCAUUUAGAUAAAUGGCAUGACCUGUUCAAGCCUAUCAAGACCCGAUACGUGGCAGCACGCUGGCUCGACCCGGGGAUCGCGGUGGGAAACGCGACCUUAGAAGAGUCUCCUUAAAAGUUGGCGUCUAGCGCAGCACCUCCUGCGAACUGCAGCCCGGGAACCCCAUAUUCCGAUAUAUACAGCUUUAUUACAAAAUAAAAUCUGUAAAAUCUUA